AGCAAUCAGCGAGACUCCGUGGGCGUAGGACCCUCCGAGCCAGAAUGCCAUGAGCCAUGUCUUGUGAUGGGCACCCCAUGACCAUGUGUGAAAAUGCUGACUCACCUCCCAUGCUGCUGACAUUCACCAGCCUCCCUUUGGAUUUUCUAAGAAGAGGCAAAAACGUCUUUGUGACCUCCACAGUUCCAAAGAAGUUCACGGCCAUGCAUUGUUUGUAGUCAGUCAUAAGAAGAAGCUCCCCAUCAGUUGGAAAGCCAAGCACCCCAGCAUUGUUGAUCACAGCCCACAGUCCUGGAGACAGAAAACCAUAAUGAGUGAGUGUCUGGAAGAGGAAGUGAAUAACACAACCUGCAAUACCUGGAAGACCAUGCAAGAGGUGUUACGUGUGAGCCAGGUCUCCUGGGGGAUUAGAGUCUGCCACUGGACAAAGAUGUUUCCACUCACAAUAUUGGUAAAUGUAGAGUUUGCCUCUACUGACUGUCAGCUGAACAUCUUGGUUAAGACUCAGACUGCCUGAUUCUUCUCUUCCACUUACAAGCCUUGGGAAAGUCACAUAUAACCAUGUGGAACCUCCACUUCCUCACAUGGAAGCAGGAGAACCAAAUGACAACUCGGAGGAAAUGAUCAGGACUGAGAAGGAGAGGAGAAAAUCCAAGAGGCCAGACCCUCACGUGGACCCUAUUGUCUCUUCCUUCCAACCUCCCAGCCUAUAAACACCUGUGCUAAGCCCAGCUGCCCAGCCCAGGCCCCAUCUGUGGGUGAGGCCUGAGACUUUUCGACCUUGCCUUGGCUGAGCACCGUUAUUACCACAUGCCUAAGACCCGUGCUC
rnacentral:lncRNA from 10 species